CAUCCCUGGCGGCCGCCGCCCGCUGCGCGCCCGUCUGCGAGCCGGGAGCCCCGCCGCCUGCGCCGCGCCCCGCGGGGCCCCGGGAGCCGCAGGCUGCCCUCGGCUCGAUCUUUGCAGGAAGAGAAAGUGUGCCCCGGUGCCCUGCCUCCCUGAGUCUGUCGUCCCGGCUUUCCCGCUGACAAUGUCUUCAAUCCUUCGUGCUAAUUCUUAUGCGCUCUUGAUCCCAAGUAAAUCCGUGACCGAGCCUCGAUAUGGAACGUUCUCAAAGUCCGGCUGUGGACGCAACCAUCCCGGAUGUGUUUUUUAAAAUCCUCGAACCGCCAAGCCAUGAGUUUCAAAGAGCCGUGCGAUUGCUUUUACCUUGGCCCGUGCCCGUGGUGACAGGAUCUGGACUUUGAAAUAGGACCUUUUCUUAACUGAAAUUCUGGCAAAGACGGGGGGAGGGGCGGCGGAUUUUUACAAAUUAUCUGCUUUACCACUUUUGUAAGAACAUAUGGUCAGGUUUUAAUUGUUUCAGUUUAAAGCAGUUGCUCUCCUCAGAUUAGAAAGCCCUCUUUUAUGAAUCUUUUGUUAAUUCACCCCCUGAUCCCUGCCUUCCCCCGCUAGUUCUUUGUCCAAUUCCUCCAGGGCCCUGCUUUUCCUUUAUAUGUAUUCAUUCCCCUGGUGUCUGCAGUCUCGCCACUUUCUUUGCAGCCCCGCUUCGGGUUUGAAGCCCGGAGCUGAACCCAGUUCUCUGACUCAGGCCUCUCCAAAGGACUAUUUUGUUCAUCUUGGAGUUCUGGCACACGGCAGGGAGAGGAAUGCUGAUUUUGCCUGGUUUGAGAGGAAAGUAGUUAUCAAUCAAUUAAUGUCGUUCUAGGUUGGAAACGUAUUAGUCCUUUCAGAUAGACGUGGCCCCGCUCAGCACCAUUUGUUGUCAGUCUCUCUAAAUGCCAGCGCUGGGGAAGGAAGACGGCUCCGUGGAUCGCUGAGCUUGCCGACUGGCUCCCAUAAGCGGGGUGAUACUGUUUCCUGGUGUACAGAGACCACGCCCAGGAUGCAUGUUCACAACAAAUGUCACUGAAACUUGCAGGAACAGAAAACUGCUAUCCCUGUGGUGAUGAGCACACUUUAGGGUUCACACUCUCUUGGGGAGCCGGCCACCCCUCAUCCCUCCCCCGCGCCCCCCAUGCAGCAGGUUACAGUGGAGAUACUGUGUGGUGGGACUCAGAAAUCUGCAUUGCUGAGACGCUCAGUUCAGUGUGACGGGGGUGGUUCCUGAACCGUGCUUUAAGGUACCCACUUUACUGUCUUACUGCUGCAAAGUCAGACUCACCCAUAAGAGGCUUGGUGUGGGUGCAGGGGCCAGAUUAAGGGCAAGGGACUUCAAAAUAAGUUAUUUCAUAGGAUGUCCUAUAUAGGUCAUCCUAUGAAAACCACAGAAUGAUGAAAACAGGAUUCAUUUUAUUUAUGAUCUUUUUGAUAACAUUUUGUGUGAUCUAAUUUCUCUUUGGACAGCGUUAAUGUAAUACAAUAUAAUAGCUGAUAUCACAAAUAGUAUUUUCAAGGACCAGUAUCCAAGAAUAACAAUUCAUCUAUCCAGGCUUUACUCUUAAUCUUGCAUUAUGAGGACUUAGAGGCAAAAUUCUUUUGAAAUCUCAUAUUUCUGUUAUAUGUCUAGUGGAAUAGCUUUGGACGAGGAUUCCAGUUUUUCUAGUAACAAUCCAUUUGACCUUAGCCAACGAGGCUAAGCCAAUUACAUCAAUGUAAUACGCCUGAAUUUUUUCAUCUGUAAGAGGAGGGCAAUACAUUUCUGCUCUACUGCGUGUGAUGAUAUUCACAUGAAAUAACAUGCAAAAGAAUCCUUUAAAACAUGCUAUAAAACUGUAAGGUGUUAUUAAUCUGAGAUUCUGUGAAAAUGUGUGACCAAAUGUUUGUAAAGUCAUUUGAUGUGAAGGUGACAGGGUAAUUGCCUUUUUAAGAUGGGUGUGGGGCAACCAAUCAGGGACAGUUAUAACCUAGGGACAAGUUGGGACUGGUAUGAGAAUGGAUACGGUAAGAUGAGAAUAUUAUUAAAAUAAUGGAAUUUUCCAUAAAAAGAUAUAUUUUAGCUCAGACUGUCCAUUUUCUGAUAUUCCUUUGAAGAAACUGUGAGAAUAAAGAUGUACAUCUUUACAAAGUUAAUAACUAAGAAA